UACGUAGGGGGCAAGCGUUGUCCGGAUUUAUUGGGCGGAAAGCGCGCGUAGGCGGCGCGGUAUGUCGGGCGUGAAAUCUCCCGGCUUAACUGGGAGGGGCCGUGCGAAACUGCCGGGCUUGAGGUCGGAAGGGGAAAGUGGAAUUCCGGGUGUAGUGGUGGAAUACGUAGAUAUCCGGAGGAACACCAGCGGCGAAGGCGGCUUUCUGGUCCGAUACUGACGCUGAGACGCGAAAGCGUGGGGAGCGAACAGG
rnacentral:rRNA from 1 species